UACAGGGGGUGCAAACGUUGCUCGGAAUCAUUGGGCGUAAAGCGCACGUAGGCGGUUCGUUAUGUCGGAUGUGAAAGCCCUUGGCUUAACCGAGGAAGUGCAUCCGAAACUGGCAAGCUAGAGUACUAAAGAGGGUUGCGGAAUUCCCGGUGUAGAGGUGAAAUUCGUAGAUAUCGGGAGGAACACCGGUGGCGAAGGCGGCGACCUGGGUAGAUACUGACGCUGAGGUGCGAAAGCGUGGGGAGCAAACAGG
rnacentral:rRNA from 1 species